CCUACGGGAGGCAGCAGUGGGGAAUAUUGGACAAUGGGCGAAAGCCUGAUCCAGCCAUGCCGCGUGUGUGAAGAAGGUCUUCGGAUUGUAAAGCACUUUAAGUUGGGAGGAAGGGCAUUAACYUAAUACGUUAGUGUUUUGACGUUACCGACAGAAUAAGCACCG
rnacentral:rRNA from 1 species